AACGCACCUUGCGCCCUGUGGUAUUCUGCAGGGCAUGCCCGUUUGAGUGUCAUUGAAUCAUCAACUCUAAACACCUUGUGUGUCUAGUGCUUGGUCUUGAGGGUCUUGCAGGCGCCUGGACGUCUGCUCCCUUUAAAUCCAUUAGCGAGACUUCCCUUUGCUGACCGUCUCUUGGCAUGAUAGUUAUCUGCGUCAAACACGAGCGGUUCUCGUUGGGCUUGCUUCUAAUCGUCCUCAGACAGUCGAUUUUGGUGCAUAUAUGCGCUCCAUUUCAAACCUUUUUGACCUCAAAUCGGGUAGGACUACCCGCUGAACUUAA
rnacentral:misc_RNA from 1 species